CCUACCAAAACCCGCAGUGAAAGACUGCAAUUCCAUUCCGCCAAAAACAUACUGGUGGGACUGGAUUUGUAUCCGAGGACAUAGCUUUGAAGUGUCGUGGAAAUAUUUUCAAGGGAAGAGCUCCCUCCUCAUACAAUUCAUAUUCGACCGUCGAUGAUCAAGGUUGAAAAGGACCCCAAGCUUUCAGAUAUCAGGACCGUUGAUGCACUUGAAAUAGUACAAACAAGUAAUAAACCAAAGCCUACAUAUCUUUCAAAGAUUUUGAUUGCACUUUUAAGCUAUGGCGGGGUCCCUAAUGAAUUUCUUUUGGACAUGGUGGAGAAUGCUCUGGGAGAUGCAAAUAG